AAAUUGAAGAGUUUGAUCAUGGCUCAGAUUGAACGCUGGCGGCAGGCCUAACACAUGCAAGUCGAACGGUAACAGAAAUCAGCUUGCUGAUUUGCUGACGAGUGGCGGACGGGUGAGUAAUGUCUGGGAAACUGCCUGAUGGAGGGGGAUAACUACUGGAAACGGUAGCUAAUACCGCAUAACGUCGCAAGACCAAAGAGGGGGACCUUCGGGCCUCUUGCCAUCGGAUGUGCCCAGAUGGGAUUAGCUAGUAGGUGGGGUAACGGCUCACCUAGGCGACGAUCCCUAGCUGGUCUGAGAGGAUGACCAGCCACACUGGAACUGAGACACGGUCCAGACUCCUACGGGAGGCAGCAGUGGGGAAUAUUGCACAAUGGGCGCAAGCCUGAUGCAGCCAUGCCGCGUGUAUGAAGAAGGCCUUCGGGUUGUAAAGUACUUUCAGCGGGGAGGAA
rnacentral:rRNA from 1 species